CUUCCGUUGCUCCCUAAUCUAAUCGAUCAAUCCUCUAACCAUUUUGUGUUCUCCACAAGCCCUAACGCCUUCGCAGCUCAGCCACCUACCUACUACCGCCUCCCACUUCAACCCUAGAAGCCGUCACCCGAUCAUGGCGUCGUCGCUGAUGCUCGCCACCACAGUAGCCCGUCUUCCCUCCUCCCCGCUUGAGGUCCGCCCCACUUCCCGCCGCCGUUUCGCCGCCGCCUUCACUGUCCGCGCCGUAGGUGGAAUCAACCCCGACGUCCGCAAGAGCGAGGAUAAGGUCGUCGACUCCGUCGUCGUCGCCGAGCUCACCAAGCCCCUCACCGCUUACUGCCGGUGCUGGAGAUCGGGCACGUUCCCGCUCUGCGACGGCAGCCACGUCAAGCACAACAAGGCUACCGGCGACAACGUCGGCCCGCUCCUCGUUAAGAAGUAGACAAAGCAUGUGUCCUGUCAGAAGAUUGAUUGAUAUUUGCAAACGAAUGAAGCAACCGAUGUCUAUUUUGUCAAGUAUGAUCUGUAUCUUUCUCGUGGAAAAAUAAAUCUGCCUCGCCGUCUCCGGCUUCAAACCCUUCACGGCCUCGCUCGCGCAGAAACUCUCCGCCCACAGCGCCAAGCGCGGCGGUCUUCUCCUCGUCCAGGAGCUUGAAGCCCACAAACUUCUCGGCCGCCCUAAUCCUCCCCAACCGCUAACCCAGCGCGAUGUCCAGGUAGCAGAUAUCGUCGCCGCCGAAGAAAUCCUUUCUUCCCUUUUCUGCAGCCCGAAAUGCUUCUUCCAUAAUCCAUAUGCUGGAAAAAGAUGCGCGCAUCUUCUACUCCUCUCACGACGGCUCUUCGUCCAAUCCUCUUAAGAUCCGCAUCGCAGAUGCUAACUAGCGCAUCAAAGAGAUAAUUCCAAGGAUAGAACGAUCAAACUGAAGCUGUGAUACCGUAUCGUCAAUGUAUGUAAUCCAGAAAUGAGCGACGGCUCGAUCGGAAGGGAGGAUAGGGGCCUGUGUGUUCCUGAAGAUGUCUUCAUGAACAAUAUUUAAGGCAACUUCCAUCGUUUGGAAGACACUUCAGGUGAUAUUCAUCCGAGUCCUUUUAUGCUCUAUUUGCUCUGCAAAAAGUGUUGCUCCAACAAAAAAAAUAUUUAACCUACAAAAUAAGUUGAGCACAAUAAUAAUAAGUUGUAAUAAUUAAUUCUUGUCUUUCCAAUAUCAGGAAUUAAUUAGGGUCUCAGUUUAGGGAUUCAAAAUGGACCUAAACUGGACCAGUGCCUAAAGUCCAAACUUGGGCUCAUCUUCAUUGGAACUCUCUUCUCUAGUGACUUACCCUCACUUAUCAACUUGUAGUAUAUUUACUAGUUCGUCAAAUAUCAGGUCGACCCUUUGACCUAUCUGGGCUUCGCACUAACUAUCGGGUCCUCAAAUCUAGUUGAGUUUCUUCCUAGUGUCAAGUCUCUUAGACCCGUCAAUCCUUGUAUGCUUGGUAAAUGUAUUAGAUUACAAAAAUACUUGACUUAACUCACUUGUCAUUUAUCAAAAUUUGAAUCAGACCGUUAGUACAAAUUACACCAAUAAUCUUUUUUUUUUAAUUUAAUGAUAACCUGAAUUAAAGUUAGGAAAAAUAAGUGCAUAAAAAAGUAGUUAGAGAAAAAUAAUGCAUAGAAUAACUUGAUGUGCAUAAGUCUAUUCUAUUGGAGCAAUCUGGGUACCCUAGGUUUUG